GGAGGGGUGACGGAGCGGCCGAACGUGCCGGUCUUGAAAACCGGAGACCUCGCAAGGGGUCCGCGAGUUCAAAUCUCGCCCCCUCCGCCA
rnacentral:tRNA from 3 species